CAGUAGCCGCGGUAAUACGGAGGGGGCUAGCGUUGUUCGGAAUUACUGGGCGUAAAGCGCACGUAGGCGGCUUGGUAAGUUAGAGGUGAAAGCCCGGAGCUCAACUCCGGAAUUGCCUUUGAAACUAGAUAGCUUGAAUUCAGGAGAGGUGAGUGGAAUUCCGAGUGUAGAGGUGAAAUUCGUAGAUAUUCGGAAGAACACCAGUGGCGAAGGCGGCUCACUGGACUGGUAUUGACGCUGAGGUGCGAAAGCGUGGGGAGCAAACAGGAUUAGAUACCCCCGUAGUCCCUGUCUCUUAUAC
rnacentral:rRNA from 1 species